rnacentral:rRNA from 1 species
UGGGGAAUAUUGGACAAUGGGGGAAACCCUGAUCCAGCGACGCCGCGUGAGUGAAGAAGUAUUUCGGUAUGUAAAGCUCUAUCAGCAGGGAAGAAAAUGACGGUACCUGACUAAGAAGCCCCGGCUAACUACGUGCCAGCAGCCGCGGUAAUACGUAGGGGGCAAGCGUUAUCCGGAUUUACUGGGUGUAAAGGGAGCGCAGACGGCGAAGCAAGUCUGAAGUGAAAUGCAUGGGCUCAACCCAUGAAUUGCUUUGGAAACUGUUUGGCUUGAGUGUCGGAGGGGUAAGCGGAAUUCCUAGUGUAGCGGUGAAAUGCGUAGAUAUUAGGAGGAACACCGGAGGCGAAGGCGGCUUACUGGACGACAACUGACGUUGAGGCUCGAAGGCGUGGGGAGCAAACAGGAUUAGAUACCCUGGUAGUCCACGCAGUAAACGAUGAAUACUUGGUGUCGGGGAGGUAAACUCUUCGGUGCCGCAAGCAAACGCAUUAAGUAUUCCACCUGGGGAGUACGUUCGCAAGAAU